CCUACGGGAGGCAGCAGUGGGGAAUAUUGGACAAUGGGCGAAAGCCUGAUCCAGCAAUACCGCGUGUGUGAAGAAGGCCUUAGGGUUGUAAAGCACUUUCAAUUGGGAGGAAAACCUGCCGGUCAAUACCCGGUAGCUUGACAUUACCUUUAGAAGAAGCACCGGCUAACUCCGUGCCAGCAGCCGCGGUAAUACGGAGGGUGCGAGCGUUAAUCGGAAUUACUGGGCGUAAAGCGUGCGUAGGCGGUUCGUUAAGUCAGAUGUGAAAGCCCCGGGCUCAACCUGGGAACUGCAUUUGAAACUGGCGGACUAGAGUUUAGUAGAGGGGAGUGGAAUUUCAGGUGUAGCGGUGAAAUGCGUAGAUAUCUGAAGGAACACCAGUGGCGAAGGCGACUCCCUGGACUAGAACUGACGCUGAGGUACGAAAGCGUGGGUAGCAAACAGGAUUAGAUACCCUGGUAGUCCACGCCGUAAACGAUGUCGACUAGCCGUUGGUCCUAUUUACAGGAUUAGUGGCGCAGCUACGACAUUAAGUACGACCGCCGUCGGGAGGUACGGCCGCCGAACGGUUAAAACGUAACAAUAGAAGUUAGACGGCGUGAGACGUGCCGAACGGACGACCGACGAGGGGAGGUAGG
rnacentral:rRNA from 1 species